rnacentral:misc_RNA from 1 species
UGGCAGUCUAAGUUCUCUGAUUGCGAUUCUGCAAUUUCUUACAGUGCUGCUUUGUGUGUCCAAGUUUCUUGCAGUAGUAGCAAACAAUCUCACUGGUUCCCCCUUUGUUACUAUUUCUUUUUCCAGUAUCAUUUACCCCACCUCCUUUAGCAACAAGAGCACUAGUUUGUUGAUUAGAUGGAGUAUUUUCUGUGCAUAGUACCCGACUAAACACAUCUUGCAGAUAGGUGAUUUCAGUACUAGAGAGAAUAUGGGAUUUGGCAGUUUCAAAUUCUGAGGGAAGUUCGGCUAAGAAACUCAUAAUUGCCAUUUGUUCUCUCUGUGCCUGUUGUACCUUGAUAUCAGAACUAAAGGGCAGAAGCAUAUUCAGUUCCUCGUAAGUCUUCUUGAAUUCCAUGAAGUAUAUCGUGAGUGACUUAGCUUCCUUCUCAGCACUAUAGAAAGCUAUGCAUACUUCAUAAAUUUGAGAUACAAUCCCUUUGCCCGAAUAUUCUCUAGAUAAUCCAUUAACUCCUUAACAAAUUCACAAUGAUUA